ACAAACAGGGCGGUUACCUGGUUACCCACUGAAGCUAAGCAGGGCUGAGCCUGGUCAGUACCUGGAUGGGAGACCUCCUGGGAAAACUAGGUUGCUGCUGGAA
ensembl:rRNA 5S_rRNA 5S ribosomal RNA